UUAACUUUUUCAACUUUGCCCCAUAAUUCAAUGUUUGAGCAAUGAGGUUCUGAAUGACGGCAAAUCAGGAGCGAAAAGUGAAAUCAGUACAACGUAGACGCUGAGAUAAAACUGUAAUGGCUUUAUUAAUUAAUAAGACAGCAUGAGUGGUGGAAUCCAACCGACGAUCAAUGAAGGUCAAUUAUGGUUCGUAUCAGGAAAUUAAUGAGUGAUAUUUGAUAAAAAAAGAUAUAUACUAAA